GUUAGAUUCAUACCAUUUUUAAGAGUUUACAUGUUGCUUACGAACUUAUUUAGCGAAUACAAACGGUGAACCUAUGUUGCAUGGAAACUCGGUUGAAGGUACGUUUCACGUUUUGGAAACGUUUCGGAAUCGGAAUCUCUCGGAAACUCGCGGAAACGCAUUGGAAACUCGUUUCUUAAAAAACUCAAUUUGGAAACUUAGCGGAAAAUUGCGUUUCUAUUUUGGAAACUCGCAUUUCUGUUCUGGAAACGCUAGAACUUUCCAAUUGGUUAUGAUUUGCUGUUAUAAUUUUUAUUUUAGUUAAACUAUUUAAUAUUUAAGUACUGAUUUUUGUUAUUUUGAAUUUUUUAUAUGAUUUUGAUGUUUAAUGAUAACUUUUUCGUAUGAUUAAAUAGAAUGGCUAUCUGUUUAUUUAUAUUAUAAGAUAAAAAUGAAUGAAAAUAUUAAUCAGUUACAUACAUAUAUAUAUAUAUAUGUAGAUAUAUAUUUAUAGACGUUUCUAAAACGUUUCCAAAGCAAAAAAAAAUCAAAAAUCACGUUUUCACGUUUCAAAACGUUUCGUUUCCGCGUAUCCGUUUCCGUUUCCAUGCAACCUAGCGGAGAACAAAUCAUUACAAAAAUAAUAAGAGAGGCUUACAAAAACGUUCAGAAGCUUACAUCAAAAUAGAAAAUCAUCAAGGUGGCCUUGUACAUGAGAGGAAGAACUGGAGAAGAGAUGGUUGGAGCCGAGGUUCUGGUGGAGUGGAGAGCAUGCACUCCCUGAUUUGAAUAUCCAUAGUAGCUAGAAUGGUUUAAGAAGGAGAUCACUUUGCGGUGAAGAUUCUAGUGUUCCUUUUUCCUUCCAUGUGAAGUAGAUGGUG
rnacentral:lncRNA from 1 species